rnacentral:rRNA from 1 species
UAGGGAAUAUUGGGCAAUGGAGGAAACUCUGACCCAGCAACGCCGCGUGAAUGAUGAAGGUCUUCGGAUUGUAAAGUUCUGUCGCAGGGGACGAAGAAUGACGGUACCCUGUAAGAAAGCCCCGGCAAACUACGUGCCAGCAGCCGCGGUAAUACGUAGGGGGCAAGCGUUGUCCGGAAUGACUGGGCGUAAAGGGAGUGUAGGCGGCGUUCUAAGUUAUAUGUGAAAUCCCACGGCUCAACCGUGGAACUGCAUAUAAAACUGGAGUGCUGGAGUGUGGGAGAGGUAAAUGGAAUUCCUAGUGUAGCGGUGGAAUGCGUAGAUAUUAGGAGGAACACCAGAGGCGAAGGCGAUUUACUGGACCAUAACUGACGCUGAGGCUCGAAAGCGUGGGGAGCAAACA